ensembl:lncRNA
CAGCAUCACUGUUAUGGUGGAAUUGCCCAUGUGCCAGAAUGGCUUAAAAAUGCAAUUCCACAUGAAUAGUAGAUAUGGCCCAGUGAACAAAACCAGUUAAUUUGGUAGAGUAAUGAGUACAAUUCUGAAAAUAACACUGAUGUCAGUCUUAUGACGAUUUUAUGUCAUGUGUCUUAACACGGCUAAAUGCAUUCAGAAGUAUACCAUUAUUUAAUCAGUGCAACACUUUUACAAUGUAUUAAGAUAUUGGCAAAGGUAAGAGGCCUUUUAAAGAGGACUUGUUAAUCCAUAUGUAUUUGAACCAUACCUCCACAUUCUUUAACCAGCUGCUGAAUGCAUACUUCUAUACAGGAACACAGGAAACUCCGUUUUUUAAACAUUUUUUUUACCUCAGAUAAGCUACAAUAAAACUCUGUUACCUCUCACACAUCACUACGCAAUACAGCUCUGCUCCAAGCAGGUUGGUCGAUGCACUCCGUUGAAUUUACAGUAUGUUCUAAUUUUUCUAUGUUGUGGUUAACUACCUUUUUCUUUUUCUUUUACAAGUGACUGUUUUUUUUUGCAAAAGCGCAUCUGAACAUUUUUAUCUAGCUCUGACAAUGUAUCUGGAGGAUGUAGAGACAAGAUUGUAAUGGAGGACACUCAUCGCUGUUGGGGGUGUCCGAAGGAGGAGAGAUGAGACUCUGCAGCUGAACUGUAGUACCACCCAAGAGAAAGACUCUGCAGUUGAACUGUAGUACCACCCAAGAGAAAGACUCUGCAGCUGUUCUGUAGUACCACCCAAGAGAAAGACUCUGCAGCUGAACUGUAGUACCACCCAGGAGAAAGACUCUGCAGCUGUUCUGUAGUACCACCCAAGAGAAAGACUCUGCAGCUGUUCUGUAGUACCACCCAAGAGAGAGACUGCAGCUGUUCUGUAGUACCACCCAAGAGAAAGACUCUGCAGCUGAACUGUAGUACCACCCAAGAGAAAUACUCUGCAGCUGUUCUGUAGUACCACCCAAGAGAAAGACUGCAGCUGAACUGUAGUACCACCCAAGAGAAGACUGCAGCUGAACUGUAGUACCACCCAAGAGAAAGAAUGCAGCUGUUCUGUAGUACCACCCAAGAGAAAGACUCUGCAGCUGAACUGUAGUACCACCCAGGAGAAAGACUCUGCAGCUGAACUGUAGUACCACCCAAGAGAAAGACUCUGCAGCUGUUCUGUAGUACCACCCAAGAGAGAGACUCUGCAGCUGUUCUGUAGUACCACCCAAGAGAAAGACUCUGCAGCUGAACUGUAGUACCACCCAAGAGAAAUACUCUGCAGCUGUUCUGUAGUACCACCCAAGAGAAAGACUGCAGCUGAACUGUAGUACCACCCAAGAGAAAGACUGCAGCUGAACUGUAGUACCACCCAAGAGAAAGAAUGCAGCUGUUCUGUAGUACCACCCAAGAGAAAGACUCUGCAGCUGUUCUGUAGUACCACCCAAGAGAAAGAAUGCAGCUGAACUGUAGUACCACCCAAGAUAAAGACUCUGCAGCUGAACUGUAGUACCACCCAAGAGAAAGACUCUGCAGCUGAACUGUAGUACCACCCAAGAGAAAGACUCUGCAGCUGUUCUGUAGUACCACCCAAGAGAGACUCUGCAGCUGAACUGUAGUACCACCCAAGAGAAAGAAUGCAGCUGAACUGUAGUACCACCCAAGAGAAAGACUGCAGCUGAACUGUAGUACCACCCAAGAGAAAGAAUGCAGCUGAACUGUAG